rnacentral:rRNA from 1 species
GAUGAACGCUAGCUACAGGCUUAACACAUGCAAGUCGAGGGGUAGCAGGGUAGCAAUACCGCUGACGACCGGCGCACGGGUGAGUAACACGUAUCCAACCUUCCCAUAACUCGGGGAUAGCCUUUCGAAAGAAAGAUUAAUACCCGAUAGUACUUUUUCAAGGCAUCUUGAGAAAGUUAAAGAUUUAUUGGUUAUGGAUGGGGAUGCGUUCCAUUAGAUAGUUGGUGAGGUAACGGCUCACCAAGUCUUCGAUGGAUAGGGGUUCUGAGAGGAAGGUCCCCCACAUUGGUACUGAGACACUGACCAAACUCCUACGGGAGGCAGCAGUGAGGAAUAUUGGUCAAUGGGCGAGAGCCUGAACCAGCCAAGUAGCGUGAAGGAUGAAGGUCCUAUGGAUUGUAAACUUCUUUUAUAGUAGAAUAAAGUGACCUACGUGUAGGUUUUUGUAUGUAUGCUAUGAAUAAGGAUCGGCUAACUCCGUGCCAGCAGCCGCAGUAACAC